AGCGUACACGGUGGAUGCCCUGGCAGUCAGAGGCGAUGAAGGACGUGCUAAUCUGCGAUAAGCGUCGGUAAGGUGAUAUGAACCGUUAUAACCGGCGAUUUCCGAAUGGGGAAACCCAGUGUGAUUCGUCACACUAUCAUUAACUGAAUCCAUAGGUUAAUGAGGCGAACCGGGGGAACUGAAACAUCUAAGUACCCCGAGGAAAAGAAAUCAACCGAGAUUCCCCCAGUAGCGGCGAGCGAACGGGGAGCAGCCCAGAGCCUGAAUCAGUGUGUGUGUUAGUGGAAGCGUCUGGAAAGGCGCGCGAUACAGGGUGACAGCCCCGUACACAAAAAUGCACAUGCUGUGAGCUCGAUGAGUAGGGCGGGACACGUGGUAUCCUGUCUGAAUAUGGGGGGACCAUCCUCCAAGGCUAAAUACUCCUGACUGACCGAUAGUGAACCAGUACCGUGAGGGAAAGGCGAAAAGAACCCCGGCGAGGGGAGUGAAAAAGAACCUGAAACCGUGUACGUACAAGCAGUGGGAGCACAGAGCAAUCUGUGUGACUGCGUACCUUUUGUAUAAUGGGUCAGCGACUUAUAUUCUGUAGCAAGGUUAACCGAAUAGGGGAGCCGAAGGGAAACCGAGUCUUAACUGGGCGUUAAGUUGCAGGGUAUAGACCCGAAACCCGGUGAUCUAGCCAUGGGCAGGUUGAAGGUUGGGUAACACUAACUGGAGGACCGAACCGACUAAUGUUGAAAAAUUAGCGGAUGACUUGUGGCUGGGGGUGAAAGGCCAAUCAAACCGGGAGAUAGCUGGUUCUCCCCGAAAGCUAUUUAGGUAGCGCCUCGUGAAUUCAUCUCCGGGGGUAGAGCACUGUUUCGGCAAGGGGGUCAUCCCGACUUACCAACCCGAUGCAAACUGCGAAUACCGGAGAAUGUUAUCACGGGAGACACACGGCGGGUGCUAACGUCCGUCGUGAAGAGGGAAACAACCCAGACCGCCAGCUAAGGUCCCAAAGUCAUGGUUAAGUGGGAAACGAUGUGGGAAGGCCCAGACAGCCAGGAUGUUGGCUUAGAAGCAGCCAUCAUUUAAAGAAAGCGUAAUAGCUCACUGGUCGAGUCGGCCUGCGCGGAAGAUGUAACGGGGCUAAACCAUGCACCGAAGCUGCGGCAGCGACGCUGAUGCGUUGUUGGGUAGGGGAGCGUUCUGUAAGCCUGCGAAGGUGUGCUGUGAGGCAUGCUGGAGGUAUCAGAAGUGCGAAUGCUGACAUAAGUAACGAUAAAGCGGGUGAAAAGCCCGCUCGCCGGAAGACCAAGGGUUCCUGUCCAACGUUAAUCGGGGCAGGGUGAGUCGACCCCUAAGGCGAGGCCGAAAGGCGUAGUCGAUGGGAAACAGGUUAAUAUUCCUGUACUUGGUGUUACUGCGAAGGGGGGACGGAGAAGGCUAUGUUGGCCGGGCGACGGUUGUCCCGGUUUAAGCGUGUAGGCUGGUUUUCCAGGCAAAUCCGGAAAAUCAAGGCUGAGGCGUGAUGACGAGGCACUACGGUGCUGAAGCAACAAAUGCCCUGCUUCCAGGAAAAGCCUCUAAGCAUCAGGUAACAUCAAAUCGUACCCCAAACCGACACAGGUGGUCAGGUAGAGAAUACCAAGGCGCUUGAGAGAACUCGGGUGAAGGAACUAGGCAAAAUGGUGCCGUAACUUCGGGAGAAGGCACGCUGAUAUGUAGGUGAAGUCCCUCGCGGAUGGAGCUGAAAUCAGUCGAAGAUACCAGCUGGCUGCAACUGUUUAUUAAAAACACAGCACUGUGCAAACACGAAAGUGGACGUAUACGGUGUGACGCCUGCCCGGUGCCGGAAGGUUAAUUGAUGGGGUCAGCGCAAGCGAAGCUCUUGAUCGAAGCCCCGGUAAACGGCGGCCGUAACUAUAACGGUCCUAAGGUAGCGAAAUUCCUUGUCGGGUAAGUUCCGACCUGCACGAAUGGCGUAAUGAUGGCCAGGCUGUCUCCACCCGAGACUCAGUGAAAUUGAACUCGCUGUGAAGAUGCAGUGUACCCGCGGCAAGACGGAAAGACCCCGUGAACCUUUACUAUAGCUUGACACUGAACAUUGAGCCUUGAUGUGUAGGAUAGGUGGGAGGCUUUGAAGUGUGGACGCCAGUCUGCAUGGAGCCG
rnacentral:rRNA from 1 species